AUUGAACGCUGGCGGCAGGCCUAACACAUGCAAGUCGAGCGGAUGAAGGGAGCUUGCUCCUGGAUUCAGCGGCGGACGGGUGAGUAAUGCCUAGGAAUCUGCCUGGUAGUGGGGGAUAACGUCCGGAAACGAGCGCUAAUACCGCAUACGUCCUGAGGGAGAAAGUGGGGGAUCUUCGGACCUCACGCUAUCAGAUGAGCCUAGGUCGGAUUAGCUAGUUGGUGGGGUAAAGGCCUACCAAGGCGACGAUCCGUAACUGGUCUGAGAGGAUGAUCAGUCACACUGGAACUGAGACACGGUCCAGACUCCUACGGGAGGCAGCAGUGGGGAAUAUUGGACAAUGGGCGAAAGCCUGAUCCAGCCAUGCCGCGUGUGUGAAGAAGGUCUUCGGAUUGUAAAGCACUUUAAGUUGGGGGGAAGGGCAGUAAGUUAAUACCUUGCUGUUUUGACGUUACCAACAGAAUAAGCACCGGCUAACUUCGUG
rnacentral:rRNA from 1 species